rnacentral:lncRNA from 1 species
CUUUCCAAAAUGCCUUAGUUUUAGAGUUUCUCAUUUUCAUGAAAAUAGUAAAAAUUAACAAAUAUCUAUAGAUAUAAAAUACAAUCCAAUCUCCCACAACUCCCAGAUACUGCAGCCAUCACUUUCUAAGGGCUGCGUAAGGAAGCAAAUUAAGCUGCUCUUGGCUGCAAGUCUUGCUGCUUGGGAGAAAUUGCAGCUGUAGCAGCUCUCCUCCGGCCCCAGGCUUGUGAUAGGAAAGAACACAAUUCAAAAACCUACUGCUGGGACACUUUCCACACUCCUGGUUGUGGAAGCCCCUAUGCUGCUCCAUAGCAGGCGCUCCAAUCUCUGGCCUGAGAUUAAAAUGCCUGCAUGACCAUGCUGUUGGGUCAGCUAAGAGUGGCUGAAUUUGUAUGUUCCCAAAUUAAAAAUGGCAUCCUCUCAGUCCCAGGUCUGGGAAAAGACCAUGUCUUUCUCUCACAGCAUCUCCAAGUCUCUCCCCAAGUUAGCUCCAGGGCCUGGGAGAAACAAAG